UACGUAGGGCGCAAGCGUUAUCCGGAAUUAUUGGGCGUAAAGAGCUCGUAGGCGGUUUGUCGCGUCUGCCGUGAAAGUCCGGGGCUCAACUCCGGAUCUGCGGUGGGUACGGGCAGACUAGAGUGAUGUAGGGGAGACUGGAAUUCCUGGUGUAGCGGUGAAAUGCGCAGAUAUCAGGAGGAACACCAGCGGCGAAGGCGGCGCUCUGGGCCGGAACUGACGCUGAGGAGCGAAAGCGUGGUAGCAAACAGG
rnacentral:rRNA from 1 species